rnacentral:rRNA from 1 species
UACGAAGGGGGCUAGCGUUGCUCGGAAUCACUGGGCGUAAAGCGCACGUAGGCGGAUUGUUAAGUCAGGGGUGAAAUCCUGGAGCUCAACUCCAGAACUGCCUUUGAUACUGGCGAUCUCGAGUCCGGGAGAGGUGAGUGGAACUGCGAGUGUAGAGGUGAAAUUCGUAGAUAUUCGCAAGAACACCAGUGGCGAAGGCGGCUCACUGGCCCGGUACUGACGCUGAGGUGCGAAGGCUAGGGGAGCAAACAGG